rnacentral:tRNA from 1 species
GGGAGUGGAUAGGUGCUGGUGUGUCUACCGGUCUUCAAAACCGGCUUGUGGCGUUAGUAGCGUCAUGGGUGAGUUCGAUUCUCACACAUUCCC